GCUGGGUGUGAUGGCUGGCGCCUGUAAUCCCAGCUACUCAGGAGGCUGAGGCAGGAGAAUCGUUUGAACCCAGGAGGUGGAGGUUGCAGUGAGCUGAGAUCGGACCACUGCACUCUAGCCUGGGCAACAGAGCGAGACUCUGUCUCAA
ensembl:misc_RNA Metazoa_SRP Metazoan signal recognition particle RNA